GGUUCUCUGAUGAGAUGGAUCUGUAGACGGACUGAUGAUGCCCCAUGCCAUGGCAGCAAUGGGCUCAACUGGACGUUUGGAGGCCAUAUGGAGUUUCUGUUGUCCACUGACUCUGCAGGACACAGCCAGUCUCCUGCACACACUAGAUGCCUCAGACGGGUUCCCUGGUCACCUCCUGGUUGCUUCUGCGGGCUCCCCAGCUACCCACUGUGAUUUCUGCCGUCUGAAGGACAAGAACAGGAUCUGUGGGAAGCUUUGGACGGUGCCCAGGCCUGCCCCACGGCGAUCCUGUUUUUCCUGCUUCUUGCAGGCUCCCGUGACACUCAGCCAUCCCAUGGAGAUGUUCAAACCAGACCUUCCCGGAACAGUAGCCGGAGGACAGACCGGCUCUCCCUGCGAGAUGGAAGCCCAGGGGUGUCCAGCCUCCAUCUGUCUGUGAGCCUUCCCAGGGGCCCUGCAGCUCCUAUCAGGCCAUAGGCUUGACUGGACGUAGGCCAGCGGCGGGAGAACCUGCUCUGGCUGGCAUUGCAAGGUGCCAGGCACACCUGAGCAGCCGGGCAGGUGUGACAGAUGCCCUGGACCACAUGGAGCUGGCUGUGCCUUGCGCACACGCCACGGUCCCAUCCCACCUCCCCUCUCCAAACCUCCCUCCGCUUCCCGGCUAGCUCAGGUGUGGCGCAUCUGUGGCCCAUUGGCAGCUUUCUUGCCCGCAGUGCUAGGGAGCUGUCAGGUUAAAAGCUGGCUUGCUCGAUUUGAUCCCACAUGUGAGCUGUUUUAUUUCCCUCUCUCUCCCUUACAUGGCUUCGGUGUGCUUUUAUAAAUAUUUCACUAGCCUUGCUAAAGU
rnacentral:lncRNA from 12 species